AAAAAAUGCAUCUUUCACUGCUGGAUAGAGGAAGGGACUUGGUACCUGCCUAGGGCGUGUACUAUUUUGAGUCAAAGUGCUACCCCUAGUGGAACAUGCCAAAAUGUCUCACAUCAUACUCUCUUGCUUGGAGAAACUCGCUCUCGAGUUGAAAUUCUUCCACACCAUUUUUCCCUAUUUGGAAUAAAUCAUUCCUUGAAUUUUGAAGUGAAAAGAGAAUGAUAAUUUUCAUUGGAAGAGUACCCAAUAUAGUCCUCUUGGAUGAGAUCAAUAAGAUGGACCUGAACAAAGUGAAUUUAAGAAGCUUCAUGUUUUCCUUUGUAU
rnacentral:misc_RNA from 1 species